GUGUGUGGCCAUUGAACAGAAGCUGGUGGGAGUACCUGGGUUGUUUUCUUUGUGCAGACUUCUUCCUACAGAGAUGGGGGGUCUUGCUCUUGCUUCCAGUGGGACCAAAUUUUAAGUCAAGGAUAACAUCUUUCAGCCAUCCAGUGACCCCUUUUUCAUCAUGUGCAUUGGUAAACUUCUGCAGAUUGUCAGCCCCCAUACCUCUAAUGUGCUUAGCUGUCCUCAGUGCCUUUGUGUGUGAUUAAAUAAAUCAGCGUUGUUGUGAAAUAAUAUCCUUCUAAAGCAAGUUACAGUUUUGGAAUGUAGGCUGAACACUCGGAUGCAGCAAGUAAUUCAAGCUACGAAAAUGAGGUCUAAUCUUAG
rnacentral:lncRNA from 1 species